CUCAAAAAACUUUGUGCUAGAUUUGAAACAAGAACAUUGAAGGUUAUGGUAGGGAAGAUCAGUUCAGUGUUUAUUGUGAUACAAGAGCAAAAGUUGUGUUUUAAAUAAAUAUUUUGAUCUAAUUGUGAGUUUGUAGGAACUUUAUUGUGGAUUUAGUUGGGGAUCAUCAAAUGGUUGAGGACAAGAAUUUCUUUUCACGAUCAAACGUAUCAGCUCAAUGAAGAUGGAUCUCAGUGGAAUAGAAACACAAAAUGGGAGUGCUAAAGUUUGUGAUAACAUUUUCGACAAUUUUUCUAACUCUCUCUCACCAUACAUUAACUUUCGAAAAUGAUGCUGGAAACCAAGAAAUCCAACCUGACAUUUUUGACGAAUUUUCCACAAAACUUGAAUCAAUUUCGCGAUCAAAACGGGACGCCAUAGUGGUAAACGAGCUGGCCGACCCUAUUUUGGCCGAUUUCCGAAAAAAAUUGCUCGCAAAAAACGCCAACAUAGUCCCCGUAAGUAACGUGACAAAAUCUCUAAGUUUCACAAUUUUUGGAAAAACAGUCAACUACCUAACAUUCAAAGGAUACAACGGUAGAAUCAAGGAUAUAUCCACGAUUUACCGUAUAGGAGACGUGUCCUUGAACAAGGACGAACACGGACUCAAGGUUAGUUUCAGAUUUGGGUUUUGGACUUUGGAGUACUCCUGUGAUACUUAUUUGAUCAGGUUUACUUGGUUGAAGUUCUCGGGAGCUUUGAAGGUGACUGUAGACGAGAGUGAAGUGUUUUUCGAGGGGACUGUACUCAAAAAUAAUUAUUCGGAGUGUAAAUUUGAAGUGAACCAUAUUCAAGUUGUGAAAUUGGAGGGUAUCAAGGUGGAGUUGACCGGGUUUAGUGUGUUGGAUAAACUUAUGAAUCUUGUAGUUGAGAAGAUUUUGGAUGUUUUUAAGGAGACUAUUAAGAAAGUGUUGAGAAGGAACUGAUCAAUGGGUUGACUAAGGCUAUUGAGAAGACUGGAGUUUGCACCAGGGAUCAUCAAGGCUAGAGGAACGGACUAUCAUCAAUCGAGAAAUCUCAUCUCUACAGCGUAUAUUAUCUAGGUAAUCAACAAAAUCGUCGACGAACUCCUCAAGUACUCCCGGGAAGCCAUCAUCGACGCCAACCUCGACAGGAUACCAGUUCCGGACAUCUCCAAGUCGUUCGUCGGCCCCGUGGGGACUCAGGGUCACUUCCUUGCCACUAACGGAUCUACAGCCUACCUCUCCACCGUUCACCGUACCGGCAACGCUCACAUGAUCUCCGGUAAAGCCACCGUUACACUGAUCCUCAACCUCGGUUUAGAACGGUUAACCGUCGAUUACGACCAGUAUGAAGCAAAAUACAUGAACAUCGGACCUCGUGGUAAGAUGCGGGUAACCGUGGAUCAAAACUCUAUCUACGCUGUGCUAAGUCUCAAAUACAAUUUAGUUGACUGUACCCAAGAACUUGUAACUUUGAUAAUCGACCACUUCGACGGUAUUAACGUCCGUAUGACCGGUUUGGAUCCUUUCAACUGGCUUUUAGAUGACGUAGUAACCUGGGUAGCUAGUGAUUUUAAAGACAGUAUCAAGCUGGCAAUUGAACAAGGUUUGCAACAAGCUAUCAAGGAGGCGUUGAAAAAGUAUAAUAUCUGCAAGUAUUUGCCGCAUAUACAUCAUAAUAGUGCUAUGUAAAUAUAUCAUAGAAUAAAAAAUCGUAUAAAAGUUUUCAUUUAUAUUAUUAUUAUGUGAUAUAAAUUUACCGUGUAACGUAAUAGUGGUUAGUGAAUACGAUGUAGAUGCGUGAUUUAGUGACUGUGACUUCGACGAAAAUAAAAGUAGGAACGGAACUAAUAUUACCGAACAAAUAUGUAGUCUGGACUCUGUUAUCAUGUGAGUAGAUAAUAAUGAAUAUGCGAUAGAAUAACUGUAGCUUGAAUGAAAAUAAAUGUAGCAUUGUAGGAGCAUAACUAGAUUACCGGAGAAUAUAAUAUAGUCUAAACUUUGUAAUCAAGUGAUAAUUUUGAGAAUGUGGUAGAAUGAUACUGUGACUUGAACGGAAGUGAAUGUAGCAUUGUAGAAAACGAACUUAAUUUCCAGAAACAUAUAGGUCCACAAUAAUUAUUUAUAAUCGAGUGGAAUAUAUUUCAUAAGAAUGAACUGAAAUCAUAGAAAAUACACGUAAUUCAUCGGAGUUGAUUGUGACUGAUAUUGUUUAAUAUACGAUGCCUGCUUUGCUCUCAUA
rnacentral:misc_RNA from 1 species